UCACCCCUCUCCACAAUACUGAGAGAGAGAGAGAGAGAGAGAGAGAGAGAGAGAUUACAUGAGCGAAUUGGGUUGGUUUCAUAUGCUGCAAUUAAGUACUAGAGGAGGCAUCCAAAGGGAUCGCAUUGAUCCUAAGCUAGCAAAGCCUUCUUGAUCAUAUCGCGCGAUCCCUAAAUAGUUUCGGAUCAUGCUAUCCCUUUGGAUUUCUCCUUUGGAAGCUUCAAACUUCUAUGUCAUGCAUCGAGCUAGAACUACAUAUAUCCAAGGAGUUGACCCAACUCUCUAUGAUCCAAGUAAGUCCAUUUCUUGAUUUAAUCCGUUUCCAAAUUCCUAUAUACUCAAAGUUCUUUUUAUUUUUAAUUUUUCUUUUGUGGUUGAAGAAUCCCAAAACUGUUUUUCAAUAACCAACAUUUUAAGGAUUUCAUGAUUAAGAAGUUCUGCAUAAAUUCAAGUCUAGCUUUUGGCUUGGCAAAAAUUAACAGAAUGAAGAAAUGAACAUGCAUCGAUCGACCCAGUCAUGAUUCGAUCUUAGUUAAAGAUUUAUUGUUUUGGAGUAGUUUACGCUAAAGGUAAUUUCCUUACGAAGUUAUCAAAUUCAUCUAGAUUCAUGAUCAUGAUGAUGUUUUAUUACAGUCAUAUGGAUAGAAGUUAUAUGCAAACCAGAAGCAAACCCAGAACCCCAUGUCAAUAAUUGUAUAUAUAUGAACACGUUGGAUCUGAUUUCCUCCUGCCUUGCUGGCAUGGGAAUACAGCUCUAUAAACGCUAAAACCCAGAAAUCGAUCAGCUCGGAGAAGCGUUCCAAAUCCAAUAUUUGAUUAUUUGCUGAUAUCUUUGUAUACAGUUGUCAUGGAUUUUACUUUUAUUUAUUAUUUACAGCGUGCGUCUGCUUGUCAACAACGAUAGGUGGAAACCUAGUUCUUAAAUUUUACCAACAUGCAAGUUAAAAUAAUAGAUUGCAUAUCUUUGCUAUUCAUACAAAUAUAACUUUAUUAUACCAAGAGCUAGGAUCUUUGCAGCUGUUUUACUCAAACAGUUCUACACCCGUAUAAAGUAGUACUGACCGAAAUUUCGUAGUGAUUAAAGUUUUGAUGAUGCCCUGUUUAUUAGUCAUGAUUAAUAUGUAAGUCAAUAACUUCUACUAUGUCUGAUUGAGUCAAAAUUUACCCCAUUUUCUGAUAGCUUUUGAUCAUUGCAAUCUUCCAACAACUUGAAUAUUAUAACUUUGGAUUGAAAAAGGGGGGACUUUACCCUAGCUAGACGAAAUAGUUUCAGAUUAAAUUGCUAAAACCCCACCUCGUUCCGAUUAGCCUGAACUGAGUUUGGCUGAUGAUCUCCGUUGAACCUACUGGGGCAGACGAAGAUGGCCACACCUGGCGGUGGCCCAAAGUCAAGGGCUCCUCCAAAUCACAUGCUUUUAGGGACUUUAAUUAGAAUCCAAGGCAGUGAAAAAGAUGAUGAUCGAUAUAAUACAUAAACUUGAGGACUUUUCCUUUCCUCUCUUCCCCACUUUGGGGCCUCACAUUGAGUGUCCCAAAGGCAAAGGAAUAAUCAUACACAUGCCUUAGAAUGAAUGAAAGAAAGAAAGGUCCUUUUAAGCAUUGCUAAAAUUAGGGUUCUUUUUAAGGGUGAUUAUACCUCUUGUAGCACAUGAGUACAUGACCACAACAUUCUAAAACAGGCUCUCACCGUAUACAGGAUCCCUUUUGUGAGUUUGUCACAUGGCCUCAGCGCUAAUACGUACUAUCAUACCACAUUUUCUUAAUUAUUUUCAGCUAGUGGAAAUGUGCUUGGAUGCAUUAAUCAUAUACUUUUCCUCCUAGGCAUGUAUGUGUUUAGAACUUAGUGGGCAAAAUCGUGUUAUGUGACAAGAGUUUGCCUAAUUGUUUGUUCAUGGGUUCUCCUCUCUUCCAUUCUAAAUCAGUCGACUGUUGUUCCGGGUUUGAUCUUUCAACAAUUUCUGAGUUAAUUAAAUUAGGUUUAGGGAGAGAUCGAUGAGGACAGACCUACGAGAGAUAUAUGGAUGACGAGAGGCGGAUGGGGAUCUAGAGAUGUGCAUCACCGGUGAACUUGGUUGGCUCCGAUUAUGAGACGGGAUGGAGAUGGGAGGAUAGAGGGUGGAAGCUGUCGGUGGUUAUGUGAUAGGCAUGAUUGAUCUUUUAACAAUUUCUGAGCUACCUUAGGGUUAGGAUCGGCCUUAAAGUCAUUAUAUUACUUGCAUGCAUUUGUUUCUUUCACAUCCUGGAUGUGAAAUGAACGAUUUUCACAUAAAUGAGGAGAGAUUUUGAAUUCAGAUCGAGUCUCAUCAACCCAGAAAGCAAGAAGAGUUCUAAUCAAACAACAGUUAGUUGGCAACUCACGCAUAUGAGCUCUAAGAGAAACUAUGUAGUUACUUUUUGACUAAAUGUAGUGGUGGAGACUAUAAGCUAGUUGCGCAUUAUUAAAUCUAUAUGUGUUAACGUUGAAUUUGUCAAUAGUGUAUAAAGCAUAAAGGAAAUCCUUGGUUUCAGAAGCUUCCCAGAUCUAUGCAAAGUUUGAAAAUAAUCAGUAAAAUUUUCGACUUUCCAGUAGAAUAAUGCUUAGUCUACACUGAUUAUUGCAUGUUUUUGUAUGUUCAUCAUCAUAGCUAAAUAGUAAGAGUCUAAUUUCAAAACGAAUAAAAAUUGAAUUUGCACAUCACCUAUAGCCAUUAUCAAUAUGGGGUCCAAGUCAAAGAAUUGUUGGACACCAAAGUGUACAAAUUAUCUUUCAACUGUAAAAUUAUGUACCCCUAAUGUCUCCCUCUUGCCCUACACAAACUUUGCAAAGGACACAUAAACUGCCAAAAUGAAACCCACACAUAUCAAAUAUUUUCAAGCUCAUGAGGAAUUGGAUGCUCCUUGCCCACAAACUAAGGGGACCUAACUUCUUGACUUGUCUCCAAAUUCAAACCCCUCCACUCCUAUUUUGUUGUCUAUUUUUCUCUUUAAUACCGCACUUUGUGAGACUCGACUGUCAGCCAUGUAUUUGAGAUUCCAGAGGAUUUGAUUUUCUUUCUUUGCCUCAAUGUUUGGGGGAUUCCUUUGAGAGAUCGAUGUGCAUAAAAAUUGACCAUCAUCUUAAGACCUAAGUAUAUUUUUUUUGGAUGAGAGAAGAUACAGAGAAAACCCUACAAACAAAAGCUCUUAGGACAGCCCUGCCCCUGUUGAUCUUAAUGUAAAGCGAUAGAGGGAGAUAGGUGGAGGACAUGACUCAGUUUCUUUCAGAGAAACAAGAGUGACCAAGAGCAGCAAUGUGAUUUGCUACAAUUCCAUCACUUGUUAGGAAAAGAAUGAACAUCAUAUAUUCACUUCUAAUAUUAUUCACCAAUUUUGGAUUGAACUGUGUUGAUUGUAGAUCAUCUGAGCUUCAGAUUAUUAUUCGAUUUUUAUUUUUUUUUGUAUAAUUUAUAAAUUAAAUCGUUCAGAAAAAAAUUAAACAUCGUCGUAUUGAUAUUUUAUGAGGGCUUCCAGCUUCCUUACGUCGCUCGUCCGGCAGUGACGCCGGUGUCAACCUAGUUGCGCCGCUGUCGUUUGCUGCUGCCGGAUGGGUAGUUUUUUAAGACCUGGGUGAUGAUCGGCGCUGGGUUAUGUUCUGGUUGAGGCAUCAUUAUGUCCGGCUCGUGAACACCGACGACGGAGGCGGCGCAGACUGGGUGGUUCUAUGCGGUGGCGGUAACAAAUGCUUCAUUGAUGGGGUCAAGUAGCAGCGUGGAUGCAGGGGAUCCUAACCCGAUUUUAGUUUUUUGGGUCUAGAUGCUCUUUUCAGGUCGUUGUUUCGUCCUCAAGUCGGUGGAGGCUGCGUGGCAAGUCAUGGCUGCGGGUCGUGGCGGUGGAGGUUGCGCGGUGAGUCGUGGAGGUGGUGUGAGACAGGUUACACAGCUGUGGAGAUUGGAAUGAAGCCUAUCCUUUGGGCCUUGGGCCUCUAAUUUAGUUUACUCUGUUUUUUCUAAUAUUUCCUUGCUUAGCCAAUGGGUGUAGUACUUGGUGUAAGGUGUUAUCAUAGCUUAUAGACUAGGUUACUUAAUGAUAUUUAGUGAGUGGAUAUUCUUGUUCACGUGAUACCUAUAUUCUUGUUCACGGCUCCGAAUCAGGUAUAUAUUUCGUUUCUUGCUAUUAUCUUUAUCGAUGUGUGAAGUAAAACCUUCGCAUACUGUUAAGUUGAGGUCAAACUCUUUAUUAAUAGCUAAGCACCAGAUAUUUGUCUGUUCUGUAGGCAAGAUGGAUCUUUCUGUUAAUUCCUUGAAGCGUACUCUUGUAAUUACAAUAGCCUCAGCAGCAGUUGGAUUAUUUACAAUAACUUGUGCCAAUUUCUUAUAGGUAGAGGAUUCUCGUAAGUGAGGCACUUAACCAUCUGUUUCUUGUAAUUGAGGAUCCCAUUUUUUUAGAAGUCCUCUAAUGCUGGUUGUUUAUGUAAUUGACUCGGUCCACGACAAGCUACUUCCCUGCAUUGCUCUUUCAGGCUUUGAAAUGUGCAUUGUGGCUUGCCGCUUUGGCACACUUCUGGAAUAAUGAAGGUAUUACUGAUCAUAUUAGAUGAGUGAGAUGACUGUCCCAUGACCAAGCUGCCAGAAAUCAACUUUGAGGCUCUGUUUUGGCACAAAACUCCUAGAGAAAUGAAGCUUAUUUUUAGGCUCAUGUUGUUAUUACGUUAGGAAACUUUCAUUAUGGAAGGGAGCUUGUCCUCAUCACCAAGGGUGGCACUCCUUUCUAAUCAAGCAAAAUUAACCGUGCUCACAAAGUAUGUAUUAGUUGAUCCUUUAGGAUGUGGCUCUCUAUCUUGCAGAGGCCAUUUUGACCCUUUAGGAUGUCUUGUAUUUCCGCAGUUUAUUAAUGAAAUUAUUUCCUAUA